CUACGGGCGGCUGCAGUGGGGAAUAUUGCACAAUGGGCGCAAGCCUGAUGCAGCCAUGCCGCGUGUAUGAAGAAGGCCUUCGGGUUGUAAAGUACUUUCAGCGGGGAGGAAGGGGGUAAAGUUAAUACCUUUGCUCAUUGACGUUACCCGCAGAAGAAGCACCGGCUAACUCCGUGCCAGCAGCCGCGGUAAUACGGAGGGUGCAAGCGUUAAUCGGAAUUACUGGGCGUAAAGCGCACGCAGGCGGUUUGUUAAGUCAGAUGUGAAAUCCCCGGGCUCAACCUGGGAACUGCAUCUGAUACUGGCAAGCUUGAGUCUCGUAGAGGGGGGUAGAAUUCCAGGUGUAGCGGUGAAAUGCGUAGAGAUCUGGAGGAAUACCGGUGGCGAAGGCGGCCCCCUGGACGAAGACUGACGCUCAGGUGCGAAAGCGUGGGGGGCAAACAGGAUUAGUACCCCAGUAGUC
rnacentral:rRNA from 1 species